rnacentral:misc_RNA from 1 species
AAGCAAGCGCUAUGCCAGACCUACUCGCCUAGGAAAGUUUGCAGCAACCUGCGGAAAAAAUAUCCGUGCAGAAAUUGCCGACCUCGACGUGACAGGUAAGUUUUGCCGAGACCAGUUCUUGUUACGUCAAUGCGCCGAUGACGUGUUCUAAAGUCGGAUAACGAGAACGCAGGAAAGAACUUUCCGGCGUCGGAUCUUGCGCAAAGGACACCCG